UACGUAGGGUGCGAGCGUUAAUCGGAAUUACUGGGCGUAAAGCGUGCGCAGGCGGUUGUGCAAGACAGAUGUGAAAUCCCCGGGCUUAACCUGGGAACUGCAUUUGUGACUGCACAGCUGGAGUGCGGCAGAGGGGGAUGGAAUUCCGCGUGUAGCAGUGAAAUGCGUAGAUAUGCGGAGGAACACCGAUGGCGAAGGCAAUCCCCUGGGCCUGCACUGACGCUCAUGCACGAAAGCGUGGGGAGCAAACAGG
rnacentral:rRNA from 1 species